rnacentral:rRNA from 1 species
ACGCUCGACACCUACGGGGGCAGCAGUGAGGAAUAUUGGUCAAUGGGCGCUAGCCUGAACCAGCCAAGUAGCGUGAAGGAUGAAGGCUCUAUGGGUCGUAAACUUCUUUUAUAUAAGAAUAAAGUGCAGUAUGUAUACUGUUUUGUAUGUAUUAUAUGAAUAAGGAUCGGCUAACUCCGUGACAGCAGCCGCGGUAAUCUGAGCGGGCUGGCAAGGC